CACUCCUGACCUCCUGUUGUGUAUGUAGGCAUAUACAUAUGUAAUUUAAUAAAUGCCACAAAAGAGAUCCUAUACAGGGAGUGCAUAAUGCAGAUUCUUUCUUUCAUCAUUUGUGAAACGAAUUAGCUAAUAUAUGUUGACUGCAAUAGCCUUAGUAUUGCUGAAAUAAUAGCUCACAAGAGCACUGAAAAUGAUGUUAAUUCUGAAAAGAAGAUCUCUUUUUCUGUUAUUUUCAAAUACAACACUGUGCUUUGAAUUUUUAGCACCUUGCAAUAUGUGCUUUAUCUCCUCAGGCUGUGAGUCAUGCUACUGACUUGCUGUAUUUGAAGAGAUGAUAUUCCGGAAAUCUAACUUGGAACGCAGAAUAUCCCACAUCAGAAGGGAUUCACUCAGCUCUCGGCAUGUGUGGACUCCUCAGUUUAACCAGGAGCUUGUGGAACUGCUGUCUUGUAGUUCUUGUUCUGACAAGUGGAGAUAAGUUCUGAUCCUUGUGAUGAGUCCAGCUGUGGCAGGUGUGUGCAAUGGAAGCUUUGGGUGGAGAUUACACUGUUCAGUUCUAUGCUGAAGUAAAAGCUGCGCUGACCCCACAGCCAGGUGUGUCUGAACGAACACAAGCUUAAAGCUUUAGCAUGCAAAUCUGAACCCAAAGGAGACCAGAUACCCUCAACUUUCAUGCAUUCCAGUUGGGCUUUAUGUAAUUAACUGUUCCAGAAAGGAGUGGAAAAAUACAAUUGUUUGCUGAAGUAGUUCAACACGUCUUAGAGCACAUUGAUUUCUACCCAAGCUUAAGAGAAAUGUCUGCAUCUUCAGUAAAGAGUCACUCCAGCAAAUAACUUUAACACUCUAAGUCAGGGACGGGUGAGGCUACGACACGCAUUGUGCUCUCGAGGAAGGAAGUUAAUUUCCAGCCCCUGGGGCCCAUUAGAAUUCAAAAUUCCAGAUGGCUCUUACUUAUCACAGUUGGCUUCUUUGCUUUGCUCCAAGGCUAUUUUAAGUCGUUCCAUCUUCGAGGAAAAAUUUCAGAGAUUAGACCCAAAGAACUUUUGUUAGAAUAAUUCUACCUGUUGCAUGGGUGGGUGGAUUCUCCAGGACUAUGUAGUCUUGUAACUCAUUACACGGACUUAUAAUACAAGGAGAUAUCAUAUACGCAGUGUAUGUAUUAUCUAAGCUAUAUGAUGAUGAUUGGGCAAAAUGCUAGAAUAGCUAAAAGGCCAUUUUAGUUUAAUUACAUUUAAUCUUACUGGCUAACAUUUUAAUGAAGUAAAUUUAGAAACUUCUGCUUUUGAAAACUCCUUUUAUAGACUUUGUCAAGACUAGAACUUCAAAGUCUUGGACAGAAUAGUUUAGAUGCUUAAAUAAGAGACCAUUGUAAGCUAUCAAAAGCUAUGCUUUCUUCCUGAACUUUGGCUCUAACUCAACAGGCUCAGCAGGCUUUAGGACGUGAUCUUCCUUGCCCUGACUACCUCAUACUACAUUACACUGUAUUAAAUCCCAUCCCAGAACUUGAAAGUG
rnacentral:lncRNA from 1 species